AGUAAAGAUAGAGGCGCGUUUUUAAAGAGUAACUGCCAGGAUUACGACAGGGUAAGAGGAAUGGCGGCCAAAGGGAAAAACGCCGAAGGGCCCGGUACUGUCAGCCGGCUUCCUGGGGUUAUUGUGAAGAACAAUAAUACUGUCAUCGAAAGAUGGAGUGCUGUCAAAACU
rfam:Eubacterium limosum KIST612, complete genome.